UACGGAGGGUGCAAGCGUUAAUCGGAAUUACUGGGCGUAAAGCGUGCGCAGGCGGUUUGUUAAGUCUGCUGUGAAAUCCCCGAGCUCAACUUGGGAAUUGCAGUGGAUACUGGCAGGCUGGAGUACGGUAGAGGAAGGUGGAAUUCCCGGUGUAGCAGUGAAAUGCGUAGAGAUCGGGAGGAACACCAGUGGCGAAGGCGGCCUGCUGGACCAGUACUGACGCUCAUGCACGAAAGCGUGGGGAGCAAA
rnacentral:rRNA from 1 species